rnacentral:rRNA from 1 species
CCUACGGGUGGCAGCAGUCGAGAAUCAUUCACAAUGGGGGAAACCCUGAUGGUGCGACGCCGCGUGGGGGAAUGAAGGUCUUCGGAUUGUAAACCCCUGUCAUGUGGGAGCAAAUUAAAAAGAUAGUACCACAAGAGGAAGAGACGGCUAACUCUGUGCCAGCAGCCGCGGUAAUACAGAGGUCUCAAGCGUUGUUCGGAAUCACUGGGCGUAAAGCGUGCGUAGGCUGUUUCGUAAGUCGUGUGUGAAAGGCGCGGGCUCAACCCGCGGACGGCACAUGAUACUGCGAGACUAGAGUAAUGGAGGGGGAACCGGAAUUCUCGGUGUAGCAGUGAAAUGCGUAGAUAUUAGGAGGAACACCAGUGGCGAAGGCGACUUUCUGGACUGUACCUGACGCUGAGGCGCGAAAGCGUGGGUAGCGAACGGGAUUAGAUACCCGGGUAGUC